ACUUGAAUUGAAGAGUUUGAUCAUGGCUCAGAUUGAACGCUGGCGGCAGGCUUAACACAUGCAAGUCGAACGGUAGCAGGAGAAAGCUUGCUUUCUUGCUGACGAGUGGCGGACGGGUGAGUAAUGCUUGGGAAUCUGGCUUAUGGAGGGGGAUAACGACGGGAAACUGUCGCUAAUACCGCGUAUUAUCGGAAGAUGAAAGUGCGGGACUGAGAGGCCGCAUGCCAUAGGAUGAGCCCAAGUGGGAUUAGGUAGUUGGUGGGGUAAAUGCCUACCAAGCCUGCGAUCUCUAGCUGGUCUGAGAGGAUGACCAGCCACACUGGAACUGAGACACGGUCCAGACUCCUACGGGAGGCAGCAGUGGGGAAUAUUGCGCAAUGGGGGGAACCCUGACGCAGCCAUGCCGCGUGAAUGAAGAAGGCCUUCGGGUUGUAAAGUCUUUCGGU
rnacentral:rRNA from 1 species